UACGUAGGGUGCGAGCGUUGUCCGGAAUUACUGGGCGUAAAGAGCUCGUAGGUGGUUUGUCGCGUUGUCCGUGAAAACUCACAACUCAAUUGUGGGCGUGCGGGCGAUACGGGCAGACUGGAGUACUGCAGGGGAGACUGGAAUUCCUGGUGUAGCGGUGAAAUGCGUAGAUAUCGAGAGGAACACCUGCGGCGAAGGCGGGUAGCUGGGCCGACACUGACGCUGAGGCGCGAAAGCCAGGGGAGCGAACGGG
rnacentral:rRNA from 1 species